rnacentral:rRNA from 1 species
CGUGUAGGCGGUUUGUUAAGUCUGGUGUGAAAGCCCUGGGCUCAACCUGGGAAGUGCAUUGGAUACUGGCAAACUUGAGUACGGGAGAGGAUAGUGGAAUUUCGAGUGUAGGGGUGAAAUCCGUAGAUAUUCGAAGGAACACCGGUGGCGAAGGCGGCUAUCUGGACCGAUACUGACGCUGAGACGCGAAAGCGUGGGGAGCAAACAGGAUUAGAUACCCUGGUAGUCCACGCCGUAAACGAUGGGUACUAGGUGUUGCGGGUAUUGACCCCUGCAGUGCCGAAGCUAACGCAUUAAGUACCCCGCCUGGGGAGUACGGUCGCAAGACUAAA